CAAGACCCAAUGUGAAGUGGGAUUACCUACUAAGUUUAUGCAUAUCAAUAAGUGGAGGAACAAAACUUACCUAGAUUCUCCUAGUAAUAGUGAGUGAAUUGAGAAAAGCCUAGCUUGAGAAUUUGGUGCCUGCGAAUUUGAAUUGUAGUUUAAAAAAGUGUCCUUAGUGGCAAACUAGGCCCAAGUCCCUUGAAAAAGGGCAUCGAAGAAGGUGGGAGCCUUAUUGUGCUUGGACCUCAUCAUAACAACGACGCUAUCUAUGAGUCAGGUUGUUUGGGAAUGCAGCCCCAAUUGGGUGAUAAAUUUUAUCCAAGGCUGAAUAUGGUGAAAAACUAAUAGCAAACGAGUACCAUAAGGGAAAUAUGAAAAUGACUUUGAAAAGAAAGUUAAAAAAUACUUAAAAUUGUCAUGAGGGAAGUAGAUAAGGGCUAAUGAUACACCUCAAUCAGAUAUGGAACAACGAGAACUAAUCCAUUGACCAAAAAGGGCAUGGACGAAUGCAAAUUGUAAUGGUAGCCCAAGCUUGAGCUUUUGAUAUGCCUACAAAAAUGUCAUCACUACAAUCAUGAAAUGCAGCAUGCAUUUUUUCGGCAUGCCUCAACCCCUACAUGCUCUCGGCAUUGGCCUACGGGCUCUUACCUUAAAACAUAGACCAUGGAGUCUUUCAUGUGUGCGAGUGAAUGAGAAAACCUAUAAGGUGUAAGAAAGUUGAUUGGUAGGAACCCCUGCGGGUGCACCGCUAACCGAUAUUGAGCUUCUGAGAAGGGUUGAGUGUGUGCAUAUGCUUAUUAAGACCCAAAAUAUGGUAAACUAUGCUUGAGCAAGGUGAAGCCAGAGGAAACUCUGGUGAAGGUCCAUAGCAAUAUUGAUGUGAAAUCAUAUGUCUUAGGCAUAAGGGUGAAGGACUAAUCAAAUUGUCUAGUGUCUAGUUCCCUUUAAAGUAUCCUUCAAGAUAGUUGGAGCCCUUAGUGAGUUCUAUCGGGUAAAGCUAGUGAUUGGAGGCAUAGAGGGCACAAUGCCCUCGACCUAUUCUUAAACUUAAAAUAAGUAGGACAGUGUGACUACUUUGUUAAGCCAAACCAUGGAAUUGAGAGCUUCAAGUAGGCCAUUUUUGAUAAGUAAAACUAGUAAUGCAUGAUGAACUAGAAGCCAUGUUAUAGUGCUUAAUGGUACACUAACCUUGAACCCAUAAAGGGUGUUGGUCGAUUAAGACGACAAGAUGGUGGUCAUGGAAAUCAAAAUCAACUAAUGAGUGUGUAAUAACUCAAUUGUCAAAUCAACUAGCCCCGAAAAAUGGAUGGUGCUUAAGUGUGUAACCUAUACCUAACCGUUGGGGUAAGGACUAGGCCCUAAUGAGUAAGAGGGAGUGAUGGUAAUCACAAAACUCAAAGCACAAGCCUGGGCAGAAUAGCCAUUGGUGUAGAUCUCGAUGGUAGUAGCAAAUAUUCAAAUAAAAACUUUGAAGGCCAAAGAGAGGAAAGGUUCCACAUGAAAGGCACUUGCACAUGGGUUAGUCAAUCCUAAAAGUUUGAUAGCAUGUCUAGCAUGAGCUUCAAAAGAGAAUCGAGUUAAAAGUCUUGAAUCAAGAUGUGACAACUAACAGCAACAAUAAGGAGUCUAAAGACGUCAAGAUGAGCCAUGUAGAGAGUUAUCAAUUUUAUUUAAUGGCCUACCCACCCUAGAAAUAGCUUAGCUAAAGGUAGGCUCCAAUAGCCGAAAGAGCACCACAUGUCGCAUGGUGUCUAGUGUAGCCUUGACAGCCUAUGAAAAUCCAGAGGAUCGAGUGUUGUCUACCCUGGGUUGUACUCAUAACUACAUCAAGUCUCCAAGGUGAAUAGCCUCUAGUCAAUGGAACAAUAUAGGCAAGGGAAGUUAAUAAAAUGGAUCUGCAAUCUUAGGAAAAAGAUUGGUUUUGAACGCUAGGCAUAAGGGUCCUAAUCCCAAACUUGUCAAUUGUUGGUGCACUACUCAAGCUACUCCCAUGGCAAGAGUGGGUUAUUGCAUGCUAGAUGGGGGAUGGAUUAAGAAUGGUACAUUCGGGGGCCUUUCUCAAGUGAUGAACAGUUAAGUUAGAACUACUAUAGACAAUGGGGAAUUUGAUUGUUUAAAUUAAACACAGCAUUCCGAUUGUCCUUGUGGAUGCUCACACAAUGUGAUUUCUGCCUACUGCUUUGAAUGUCAGUGAAGAAAUUCAACCAAGUGUGGGUCAAUAGUAAGAGUAACUAUGACUCUAUUAAGGUAGCCAAAUGCCUCAUCAUCUAAUUAGUGAUGUGCGUGAAUGGAUUAACAAAAUUCUCACUAUCCCUAUUAACUAUAUAGCAAAACUAUAGCCAAAGGAAUAGGCUCGGUAAAAUCUAUAGGGAAAGACCUUAUUGAGCUUGACUCUAGUUUGACUUAGUGAAAUGACUUGAGAGGUGUAGUAUAAGUGGAAGCACUUAGGAAAAAUUGAAAUCACACUACUUUUAACAUUAUUUUAUUUAUUUCAUGAAUUAGAGGUGGGGCAUGACCCUUUCUUUUACACCCAAGGUUGGCUUUGGUUGAUCAAUCUAGGCAGAUGACAUUGCCAUGUAGGGAGUUUUGCUAGGGAGCCACAUCUAUUAAAAGAUAAGUAAGUAUCCUAAGAUGAGCUCAACAAGAAAAAAAAUCUCAUUUGGAACAAAAGGGCAAAAGCUCAUUUGAUUCUAAUUUCUUGUACAAAUAUAAAUCAUGAAAACGUGGCCUAUUGAUCCUUUAAACCUUUGAAAUUUAAAGCUAGAGGUGUCAAAAAAGUUACCACAAGGAUAACUAGCUCAUGGUAGCCAAGCGUUCAUAGUGACAAUGCUUUUGAUCCUUCAAUGUUGGCUUUUCCUAUUAUUGUGAAACAAAAUUCACCAAGAGUUGGGUUGUCCUCCCACCAAUAGGAAAGAUGAGCUAGGUUUAGACCAUCAUGAGAAAAGUUCCUUUUACCCUACUGAUGGUAGUGUCACAAUAGUAAUUUAGCCUAGUACGAGUGGAAUAAUUGAUUCACUUAGUUGGUCAUCACGCUUGGAUGAAAAGCCAGUGGCACAAAGCUACUAUGCACUGAAUUAUGACUAAACACCUCUAAGUCAAAAUUUGGGCUAGAAGUGAUGCACAUGCCUAUUGCCUGAUUGCUAACCUAUAGUAAGGCUCCGUGGACCCCAAGGGCAUGUGUCAUAGGUGUAGCCCUCACAGUGGACAAGCCUUGCUAGCCUCCUUGGAAUCGAGUGAUGGGUAGAAUCUUUUACAAAUGACUUAAAUGCUUGAUAGGGUAUUGUAAGUGCCAAAGAACCUUAUUGCCAUGAUCCACUGAGAUUUAGCCCUUUGUUGCUUCGAUUCAU
rnacentral:rRNA from 1 species